CCUACGGGAGGCAGCAGUGGGGAAUAUUGGACAAUGGGCGCAAGCCUGAUCCAGCCAUGCCGCGUGAGUGAUGAAGGCCUUCGGGUUGUAAAGCUCUUUCACCCACGACGAUGAUGACGGUAGUGGGAGAAGAAGCCCCGGCUAACUUCGUGCCAGCAGCCGCGGUAAUACGAAGGGGGCAAGCGUUGUUCGGAAUGACUGGGCGUAAAGGGCGCGUAGGCGGUUCGUUGCGUCAGAUGUGAAAGCCCCGGGCUCAACCUGGGAACUGCAUUUGAUACGGGCGGGCUUGAAUCCAAGAGAGGGUGGUGGAAUUCCCAGUGUAGAGGUGAAAUUCGUAGAUAUUGGGAAGAACACCAGUGGCGAAGGCGGCCACCUGGCUUGGUAUUGACGCUGAGGCGCGAAAGCGUGGGGAGCAAACAGGAUUAGAUACCCCAGUAGUC
rnacentral:rRNA from 1 species